rnacentral:lncRNA from 1 species
UAUGGUAUCCACCUAAAUAUCCAUCAGCAAAUGAAUAAAGAAAAUACUACUCAGUCAUCAAAAAGAAUGACAUCCUGUAAUUUGCAGCAACAUGGAUGAGCGUGGAGAACGUUAUGUUAAGCAAAAUACGUCAAGCACAUAAAGAUAAAUAUCACAUGUUCUUAUUCAUAUAUAAGAGCUAAGAAAAAGUUUAAGCUGUUGGAAGUAGAGAGUAGAACUGUGGUUACUAGAGGCUGGAAAAGGUGGGAGAAGGGGAGUAUGGGAACAGGUUGGUUAACGGGCAUGAAAUUACAGCUAGAUAGGAGGGAUGAGUUCUGGUUCUACAGCACCCUACAGUGGUUAACCAUAGGUGAUUGUGUAUUUUGAAAAAGCUAGAAGAGAGGAUUUUGAGUGUUCACAACACAAAAAAAUGAUACAUGUUUGAGGUGAUGAAUAUGCUAUUUUUUCUCUGAUUUGAUCAUUACACAUUGUAUACAUCUAUGAAAAUAUCUCUCUGUAUCCCUUAAAUACAUAUAAUUAUUACCUGUCAACUUAAAAGGAAAAAAAUUAAAUCACAAGAAAUAAUUUUCAGACAGUAGAACUACGAUUUAAUCAAGGAGCUGAUAUGCCUAUCUGGAUUUAAAAUUGCUCUGGACCAGGGACAGUUCCAUACUUUCCCUUCUUUUCCUCCCUUUAUGGUUAGGAGUAAGUGCUGUGAGUAUUCUAUCUCUUUUUGCCAUGUAUGUUGAAUUUUAGAGAACAUUUAUUUUUAGGUCGUAAGUCUUCAGCUUCACUUGCUCAAGCAACUGUACCUAAGGAACCUCCCUUAUAUCUAUCUAUACCUUAUUUAAAUAACAAGAUCCUGGACCUCAUUUCUCAGUGUAACAUUUUAAAGGGAUAAAUAUUUCCAGGGUCUUGAAAGGGAAGAGUGUCUUUUGCAUGUGAGAAUUAUGUAAAUAAUAAAUGGCCAGAGGGAAGAGAACCAAAGAUGGCUACAUGAUCUUUGACUGUCCUCCCAUUAUGUCAUAGGCUGAAUUCACCUCCCCUUCAUUCUCUGCUGGCCUUUUUGACCUGCUUCAUGAAUAGAAUAUGGCAUAAGUGAUAUUCUGGACUUCCAAGGCAAAAACAUUUUAAAAAAAGCCAUGUAGCUUCUGCCUGUACCUCUUAAAUUGUUCACAGUAGCAAUGCUUCCUUUCCAAAUCUAGAUGUCAUGUGGUGAAAAUAUCAAGCCACAUGGAGAUGGCAUUUAGGUCUACGGCCCCAGCUGGACUCCCAGCUAACAGCUAACAUGACCUGCCAGCCAUGCAAAUGAGCCAUCUUUGAUGUCCUAUGCAUUUGAGCCUUCAGAUCCUAGCAGUCCAAACCAACAUGUUACUGCAACUGCCUGAGAUUCCUGGCAAGAACCAUCCACCUGAGUCCACUUAACUCAUAGAAACAUGAAAAAUAACAACAUAUUAUCGUUUUAAUCCACUAAAUGUGGGGUAGCUUGCUAUGCAGUAAAAAUUGGAUCUUAAAAAAAAUGAAGAAUCAAUACAAGUAUACCUUAUUCGAAUUCAAAACGAUAUGAAGACUUCCAUUUACAGUUAUGGCAAAGUAACUUGAAUCAUACUGCUCUCUUACCAUAAAUAACUAUAAAAAUCUGACAACAAAUAUAAAACAACUCUCUUUGGGCAUUGGACAGCAACCAAAACAAGCAUGUGAUACUUGACUUAAAGGGGUAGCUGAUAUAAUUCUCAUACUAAAAGUGGAUAUCACAGUAAAUUAUACUGAAAAUACAGUGUGAGGAAACAGAGGCCACACAGAGUUUGGAAAUCAUACUGGGUGAAAGAAACACAGAUCAAAGUUUAGGGCUGCCAAAGCUGCUAGGGUUUGGGACCAGGGUACUAAUGCUAAGGAGAAGCUGCUAAGAAGAAAUUGUGUAAGAUUUCUCUUAGUUCAAUGCUUAAGCUGCAGGUCUGUGGGUCCUCCAGAAGGACUAGGAGAGGAUAACUACUUAGACACAUACUGAGUAGAGAUUUCAGAGGCCUUGUCAGUUCUGAAUAAACAUUUGAUUUCAUUGGUAGUCAGAGAGGUUAGACAUAGAUAAGCAUUUCAGGGUUAGGCGAUACCCCCCAAAACCAUGCCCAAAAGUAAGAAAUUAAGGCUACAUUCAAGGAGCAAAUCUGAAGACUCACCCUAACAUAGACACCACAGAGUAAUUAGAAGGAAAUUUAACUUUAAGCACAUAUGCUAGAUAAAAUUUGAAGGUCAAUUUUCUAAGCUUCCAUUGCUAAAAGCUAUAGAAAAUACCAUCAAGAAAGAAAUAAUAUAGGGCAAUAAAUUAAUGAAAUUUAAAACAUAUAUAAUAGAAAAAUUCCACAAAGCCAAAAAUAUGUUUUUCAUAAAGACUAUUAGAAUCAAUAAAUAUUUAGCAAUACAGAGCAAGAAAUAAAAUGGAGGAAACACAAAUUAUAAAUGCCUAAAAAGAACAAGGGAGAUAACUACAGAUCACAAGACAUUCUUUUAAUGACAGAAUAUUAUGAAUUACUUUAUACCAAUACAUUUUUAAAUCUAUAUUUAAAAAUGGUUGAAAAACACAAUGUACUGUAAUGGACAAAACAAGAGGUAGAAAAUUAAAUAGUCCUAUAUUUGUUUAUUAAAAUGAACACAUAAUUCAAAACUUUCCCACAAAGAACACUCUAGUUGCAUAGGACUUUAAUGUUAAAUUAUUAUGAAAAUUUUAGGAAGAAAACAAUAGCAAUAUUAAAAACUGUUUAACAAAAUUAUUUGUUUCUUUAUCAAGGGAAUGUAUAUAUAAAAAUCCAUUGAGAUUAAUACUUAAGAUAUGUGGAUUUUACUGUUAUUUCUUAAUUUUAAACAAAGUAAAACAACUUCACUGUCCACAUGAGUGAAUAGUACUAUAGUGAUUUUCUAUUGCUAUGGAAAAAAAUACCGCAAAUUUAGUCGCUUAAAGCAAGACCAAGACACAUUUGUGAUAUCACAGUUGUGGGUGAGGAGUCUCGACACAUCUGUGAUAUCGCAGUUGUGGGUAAGGAGACUGGACACAUCUGUGAUAUCACAGUUGUGGGUAGGGAGUCUCGACACAUCUGUGAUAUCGCAGUUGUGGGUAGGGAGUCUCGACACAUCUGUGAUAUCGCAGUUGUGGGUAGGGAGUCUCGACACAUCUGUGAUAUCGCAGGUGUGGGUAGGGAGUCUCGACACAUCAGUGAUACUGCAGUUGUGGGUAGGGAGUCUCGACAUAUCUGUGAUAUUGCAGUUGUGGGUAGGGAGUCUCGACACAUCUGUGAUAUCGCAGUUGUGGGUAAGAAGUCUGGACACAUCUGUGAUAUCGCAGUUGUGGGUGAGGAGUCUAUAGGCACAUCUGCUUGGGUUUUCUUACGGUCUUUCUUACGGUCUUAUCAAGGCUGCAAUCAAGGUGUCAGGCAAAGCUGGGUUCUCAUGCAGAGGCUGAACUAAGGAAAGAUAUGCUUUCAAGCUCCCUUAGAUUUUUGGCAGAACUCAUUCUCUUACAGUUAUAGAAUUCAUGAAUCCUUCCUUCUUCAACUUUUAAGUGGUUUUAUAUCUCAGUGUCCUGAAAGUGGUAUUUCUCAGCACAUUAGGAGUAUGUGAUAAUUCACCAGGACUUCCAUGGUAUAAGGACAUUGACAAAGGAGCAACAAAUGAAGUUAAGGAAUCCUAU